rnacentral:rRNA from 1 species
UACGGAGGGGGCUAGCGUUGUUCGGAAUUACUGGGCGUAAAGCGCACGUAGGCGGCUUUGUAAGUUAGAGGUGAAAGCCCGGAGCUCAACUCCGGAACUGCCUUUGAUACUGGGGAUCUUGGAGUCCGGGAGAGGUGAGUGGAACUGCGAGUGUAGAGGUGAAAUUCGUAGAUAUUCGCAAGAACACCAGUGGCGAAGGCGGCUCACUGGCCCGGUACUGACGCUGAGGUGCGAAAGCGUGGGGAGCAAACAGG